rnacentral:rRNA from 1 species
GUGGCGACCGGCGCACGGGUGCGUAACGCGUAUGCAACCUACCUUAUACUGAGGGAUAGCCCAGAGAAAUUUGGAUUAAUACCUCAUAGUAUCAUUUGAAGGCAUCUGAGAAUGAUUAAAGAUUUAUCGGUAUAAGAUGGGCAUGCGUAAGAUUAGUUAGUUGGUGAGGUAACGGCUCACCAAGACUUCGAUCUUUAGGGGUUCUGAGAGGAUGAUCCCCCACACUGGUACUGAGAUACGGACCAGACUUC